CAGGCAUCGACCAAGGCCUACAAAUGCAUUUGGGUUAAGCACUCUUGCGUGCUAUCAUCGGCUUUGGAAGAUGAGUUUGAACUGUGGAGCUGCAAUAGGGUUUGCCCUGACAGCCCCUUCUGGGCUUGCGGAUUUAAGUCCUUGGGAGAGAUUCUACCUGAAAGGGAUUGGUAACUUGAACCUGACCGAGCUUGAUUAUUGGCCUCCACAGGACACUGAUGUUAAUCAAAGAAGCCUCACUCUCCCAGCAGCUGGAUUGCUGGCUCAGUGUGGGAGGUUAAGGAAGCUAUUUAUUCAUGGCACAGCCAAUGAACAUUUCAUGAUGUUUCUGUUGAAAAUACCAACACUCAGGGAUGUCCAGC
rnacentral:misc_RNA from 1 species